CUGAGAGGGAGCGGGGAGAUGCGGAGCGGCGGCGCGUUCGGAGGAGCAAGCGAAGCGGAGCUCUGCUGCUGGUUAUUGUUAGCUGGGAAGUCCAGAGAGGAGCAAAACCAGGAAACCGAGAGAUGCUAGAGAAGUGGAAAGCUGUGGGUUGACUUGGCACAAGCUAAACAGGAAGCUUCCAUCACUGUUCUGGAAUUAAAGAAGAAGAUAAAGACUCUCUGUGAUGGAAAGUUAAACCCCUAGAGAGUCAAAGCAGAAGGCUCUUUGUUGAAGAGGACUGCAGCAGAGCUCAGUGUACUCUGGUGAGACCCCUUCUACUUUUGCUGGGUCCAGUGGUGGAGGCUCAGGAGAGGAUCAGGCAGUUUUUGUUCAUCAUGGAUGCCCAUUCAAAAUGGCCAGAACUUUUCAGAAUGACUUCCACUAUAGCUU